rnacentral:rRNA from 1 species
GCGGCAGGCCUAACACAUGCAAGUCGAGGGGUAACAGAAAAAAGCUUGCUUUUUUGCUGACGACCGGCGAACGGGUGCGUAACACGUAUGUAACCUACCUAUAACUGGGGAAUAGCCUACUGAAAAGUGGAUUAAUACGCCAUAAUAUGUAUUUAAGGCAUCUUAAAUACAUUAAAGCUUUGGCGGUUAUAGAUGGACAUGCGCAACAUUAGCUUGUUGGUGAGGUAACGGCUCACCAAGGCAACGAUGUUUAGGGGGUCUUAGAGGAUGAUCCCCCACACUGGUACUGAGACACGGACCAGACUCCUACGGGAGGCAGCAGUGAGGAAUAUUGCGCAAUGGAGGAAACUCUGACGCAGCCAUGCCGCGUGCAGGAAGACAGUCUUAUGGAUUGUAAACUGCUUUUGUAUGCCAAGAAACCUUAGUACGUGUACUAAGCUGACGGUAGCAUACGAAUAAGGAUCGGCUAACUCCGUGCCAGCAGCCGCGGUAAUACGGAGGAUCCAAGCGUUAUCCGGAUUUAUUGGGUUUAAAGGGUCCGCAGGCGGAAAAUUUAGUCAGUGGUGAAAUCCUACAGCUUAACUGUAGAACUGCCAUUGAUACUGGUUUUCUUGAGUACAAAUGAGGUGAGUGGAAUGUGGCGUGUAGCGGUGAAAUGCAUAGAUAUGCCACAGAACACCAAUUGCGAAGGCAGCUCACUAACAUGUAACUGACGCUGAGGGACGAAAGCGUGGGGAGCGAACGGGAUUAGAUACCCCGGUAGUCCACGCCGUAAACGAUGAUCACUCGAUGUUGGCGAUAUACUGUCAGUGUCUGAGCGAAAGCAUUAAGUGA